GGAUGAGCCUUCGCUGCAUACCAAGAGACAGGAGUGUAUUUAUUGUACAAGAGUCUGUUGGUUCAGCUGGGUGGCUACAGAAAUGGAAUGAAUUAAUGAGAAAAUAAAACAUCUUACUGGCUAAUUAACUACAUUUUGGCAAAGCUUUCCCAGCCACCUCUCUUGGCCGGAGAACAAAGAAAGAGAGAAGCAAGUGAAGGAAUGUGGACAUGCGCAGUUAGCUUACUGAUAAGAACUUGGCAAGCUAUGUAGGUGGCAGGACCUAACCCAUCAGAGCUGAACUUAAAAAAAAAGAAGAAGCUAAACACGUUGGACUGGGUUAGUAGUUGGACAGAGGAUCAUCAAGCAAUUUUAUAGACU